ACGAAACGCUGGCGGUGCGCUUAACACAUGCAAGUCGAACGGGCGUCCUUCGGACGUCAGUGGCGAAACGGGUGCGUAACACGUGAGCAACCUGCCUUCCGGUGGGGGAUAAACCCGGGGAAACCCGGGCUAAUACCGCAUUCGAUCUCCGGGCCGAUUGGCCGGGAGAGGAAAAGCUCCUGCAAGGGAGCGCCGGGAGAGGGGCUCGCGGCGUAUCAGGUAGUUGGUGGGGUAACGGCCCACCCAAGCCGACGACGCGUAGCCGAUCUGAGAGGAUGAUCGGCCCACAUUGGGACUGAGAUACGGCCCAGACUCCUACGGGAGGCAGCAGUGGGGAAUCUUGCGCAAUGGGCGAAAGCCUGACGCAGCGACGCCGCCGUGCGGGAGGAAGCUCUUCGGGGGUGUAAACCGCUGUCAGGGGGGGACGAAUGGUCGAGGGAGGAAAUGCCUUCGAUUUGACGGUACCUCCAGAGGAAGCACCGGCUAACUCUGUGCCAGCAGCCGCGGUAAUACAGAGGGUGCGAGCGUUGUUCGGAAUUACUGGGCGUAAAAGCGCGCGCAGGCGGCCCUUUAAGGUCCAUCGGUCAAAUGCCGGAGCUCAACUCCGUGCGUGCCGAGGAUACUGGAGGGCUGGAGACACGUAGAGGCAAGCGGAAUUCCGGGUGUGUGUAGCGGUGGGAAUGCGUAGAGAUCCGGAAGAAGAACACCGGAGGCGAAGGCGGCUUGCUGGGCGUGAUCUGACGCUGAGGGCGCGAAAAGCGUGGGGAGAGCGAACAGGAUUAGAUACCCUGGUAGUCCACGCCGUAAACGAUGGGCACUAGACGCUGGUGGGAUCGACCCCUUCGGUGUCGCAGCUAACGCGAUAAUGUGCCCCGCCUGGGGAGUACGGCCGCAAGGCUGAAACUCAAAGGAAUUGACGGGGGGCCCCGCACAAGCGGUGGAGCAUGUGGUUUAAUUCGAAAGCAAAACGUCAGAAAGAACCUUACCUGGGCUUUGACAUCCUGGUGAAAGCCUCGUGAAAGCUGGGCCCCUCCUUCGGGACCAACCAGGACAGGUGCUGCAUGGCUGUCGUCAGCUCGUGUCGUGAGAUGUUGGGUUAUAAGUUCCGCCAACGAGCGCAACCCCUAUUCUCUGUUACCAGCGGGUAAGGCCGGGGACUCUGAGAAGACUGCCGGUGGACAAACCGGAGGAAGGUGGGGACGACGUCCAAGUCAUCAUGGUCCUUACGGCCCAGGGCUACACACGUGCUACAAAUGGCCAGGACAAAGCGCAGCGAGGCCGCGAGGGCGGAGCGAAUCGCAAAAAACCUGGUCCAAGUUCGGAUUGCAGUCUGUAACUCGACUGCAUGAAGGCCGGAAAUCGCUAGUAAUCGUGGGUCAGCUACACCACGGUGAAUACGUUUCCCGGGCCUUGUACACACCCGCCCGUCACGCCAUGGGAGUCGGGAGCGCCCGAAAGUCGGUGACCCAACCCGCAAGGGAGGGAGCCGCCGAAGGCGAGCUCGGUGACUGGGGCG
rnacentral:rRNA from 1 species